AGAGUUUGAUCAUGGCUCAGAUUGAACGCUGGCGGCAGGCCUAACACAUGCAAGUCGAGCGGUAGCACAGAGAGCUUGCUCUCGGGUGACGAGCGGCGGACGGGUGAGUAAUGUCUGGGAAGCUGCCUGAUGGAGGGGGAUAACUACUGGAAACGGUAGCUAAUACCGCAUAAUGUCGCAAGACCAAAGUGGGGGACCUUCGGGCCUCAUGCCAUCAGAUGUGCCCAGAUGGGAUUAGCUAGUAGGUGGGGUAAUGGCUCACCUAGGCGACGAUCCCUAGCUGGUCUGAGAGGAUGACCAGCCACACUGGAACUGAGACACGGUCCAGACUCCUACGGGAGGCAGCAGUGGGGAAUAUUGCACAAUGGGCGCAAGCCUGAUGCAGCCAUGCCGCGUGUGUGAAGAAGGCCUUCGGGUUGUAAAGCACUUUCAGCGGGGAGGAAGGCGGUGAGGUUAAUAACCUCAUCGAUUGACGUUACCCGCAGAAGAAGCACCGGCUAACUCCGUGCCAGCAGCCGCGGUAAUACGGAGGGUGCAAGCGUUAAUCGGAAUUACUGGGCGUAAAGCGCACGCAGGCGGUCUGUCAAGUCGGAUGUGAAAUCCCCGGGCUCAACCUGGGAACUGCAUUCGAAACUGGCAGGCUAGAGUCUUGUAGAGGGGGGUAGAAUUCCAGGUGUAGCGGUGAAAUGCGUAGAGAUCUGGAGGAAUACCGGUGGCGAAGGCGGCCCCCUGGACAAAGACUGACGCUCAGGUGCGAAAGCGUGGGGAGCAAACAGGAUUAGAUACCCUGGUAGUCCACGCCGUAAACGAUGUCGAUUUGGAGGUUGUGCCCUUGAGGCGUGGCUUCCGGAGCUAACGCGUUAAAUCGACCGCCUGGGGAGUACGGCCGCAAGGUUAAAACUCAAAUGAAUUGACGGGGGCCCGCACAAGCGGUGGAGCAUGUGGUUUAAUUCGAUGCAACGCGAAGAACCUUACCUGGUCUUGACAUCCACAGAACUUAGCAGAGAUGCUUUGGUGCCUUCGGGAACUGUGAGACAGGUGCUGCAUGGCUGUCGUCAGCUCGUGUUGUGAAAUGUUGGGUUAAGUCCCGCAACGAGCGCAACCCUUAUCCUUUGUUGCCAGCGGUUAGGCCGGGAACUCAAAGGAGACUGCCAGUGAUAAACUGGAGGAAGGUGGGGAUGACGUCAAGUCAUCAUGGCCCUUACGACCAGGGCUACACACGUGCUACAAUGGCAUAUACAAAGAGAAGCGACCUCGCGAGAGCAAGCGGACCUCAUAAAGUAUGUCGUAGUCCGGAUUGGAGUCUGCAACUCGACUCCAUGAAGUCGGAAUCGCUAGUAAUCGUAGAUCAGAAUGCUACGGUGAAUACGUUCCCGGGCCUUGUACACACCGCCCGUCACACCAUGGGAGUGGGUUGCAAAAGAAGUAGGUAGCUUAACCUUCGGGAGGGCGCUUACCACUUUGUGAUUCAUGACUGGGGUGAAGUCGUAACAAGGUAACCGUAGGGGAACCUGCGGUUGGAUCACCU
rnacentral:rRNA from 1 species